rnacentral:rRNA from 1 species
GUGUCAGCAGCCGCGGUAAGACGAACCGUGCAAACGUUGUUCGGAUUCACUGGGCUUAAAGGGCGCGUAGGCGGACGUCCAAGUCCGGGGUGAAAGCCCCCGGCUCAACCGGGGAAUUGCCUGGGAUACUGGACGUCUCGAGGGAGGUAGGGGCGCGCGGAACUUCCGGUGGAGCGGUGAAAUGCGUAGAUAUCGGAAGGAACGCCGGUGGCGAAAGCGGCGCGCUGGACCUCUUCUGACGCUGAGGCGCGAAAGCCAGGGGAGCGAACGGGAUUAGAUACCCCGGUAGUCCUGGCCCUAAACGAUGGGUACUAGGUAGUAGGCCAGCAUGGGCUUACUGCCGAAGCAAAAGUGCUAAGUACCCCGCCUGGGGAGUAUGGUCGCAAGGCUGAA